rnacentral:rRNA from 1 species
GACGAACGCUGGCGGCGUGCUUAACACAUGCAAGUCGAACGGAAAGGCCCUGCUUUUGUGGGGUGCUCGAGUGGCGAACGGGUGAGUAACACGUGAGUAACCUGCCCUUGACUUUGGGAUAACUUCAGGAAACUGGGGCUAAUACCGGAUAGGAGCUCCUGCUGCAUGGUGGGGGUUGGAAAGUUUCGGCGGUUGGGGAUGGACUCGCGGCUUAUCAGCUUGUUGGUGGGGUAGUGGCUUACCAAGGCUUUGACGGGUAGCCGGCCUGAGAGGGUGACCGGCCACAUUGGGACUGGGAUACGGCCCAGACGCCUACGGGAGGCAGCAGUGGGGAAUAUUGCACAAUGGGCGGAAGCCUGAUGCAGCAACGCCGCGUGCGGGAUGACGGCCUUCGGGUUGUAAACCGCUUUCGCCUGUGACGAGGCGUGAGUGACGGUAAUGGGGAAAGAAGCACCGGCUAACUACGU